CACCUGGUUGAUCCUGCCAGUAGUCAUAUGCUUGUCUCAAAGAUUAAGCCAUGCAUGUCUAAGUAUAAGCUUUAAACGGCGAAACUGCGAAUGGCUCAUUAAAACAGUUAUAGUUUAUUUGGUGAUCGAUUACUAUUUGGAUAACCGUAGUAAUUCUAGAGCUAAUACAUGCGUCAAGGCCCGACUUCGGAAGGGCUGCGUUUAUUAGAUACAGAACCAACCUAGGCUCCGCCUAGUCCUUGUUGGUGAUUCAUAAUAACCCGGCGAAUCGCACGGCUUGUCCCGGCGAUGGACCAUUCAAGUUUCUGACCUAUCAGCUAUGGACGGUAGGGUAUUGGCCUACCGUGGCGUU
rnacentral:ncRNA from 1 species